CGUCUUCUCUUCCUUCUUGUGCAUGUGGUUGUGCAGUGAGAUAUUGUCUUUGCUGAUUGACAAUUGCAUCUUCUGUGGUCACUGCUUACCCCGAUCCCCCUUCGUGUGUCAAGCAGCUUGUUACUGAUGUUCACACGUACACCGAGCCGACAUAAGCCGCGGUGAUAAAAUGUGGUUGAUUCCUGGACGUGAUCGUACCUGUCGGAUGCGUCACGUCCAUCGGCCAAUCAUAGAAGAGCGGUAUGUCUGACGUCAUCACACGGUUGCGCACGAAGCGGAAGAGCCGGAGCAAGUUGAGGCGCCUCUGGGGGGGAAUAGCACAAUGUUGUGUAGGGAUGUUGCUCGCUGCCAAUGCUGUCCUCGUCUAUAUCUACAAGGCAUUCGCCUGGGCAACUUUUGUCGGAGUGUGGAGUGGUGCAAUGGCAAUUUUGGCGGGAGGAAGUGGCAUAGUAGUCCACCUAUCGGAGACGAAAUGCAACAAAAGGUUUAUGUUUGUCAUGAAUCUGUUCAACAUUUUCGGACUUUAUCCAGGCUUGAUCACCAUCGGCAUAGUAUUUUAUAUCUAUGAAGGAUAUACUGAUGUUUAUUUUCAACAUUUUAACAAAAUUAUGCAAUUGUUUUACAUGAUUUUUGCCUUUUUCGGCAUGAUUGCAGCUGUGUUUCAGUUAUCAGUGGUGCUUACUAAUAAUGAAAGACAGCAUAUGUAUGACUUUGAUAUGCGUAGGCGCUGUGGACUGAUACGAGACUGCGCAAGUCCGGAUCCGGAAAUGACGAGGGCAAUACAGGAGCCAGUGGCGUCCACAUCCACGGAAGCUUCCAACCAGAUCUCGACCAUUCAUAGAGAAAACGUGAGAGAACGCACAGAUUUUGAGAAUGAGGGCUUCGUUUAUUCAGAAUCGCAAUGCACGCGUUUUUAACCCACCAAUCUUUUUAAAGGGAAGGGAUGGACGUCCCUUUGUCGUAAAUGCCGCAGGAUGAGCGUUCAGCCAGUCGUGACACUGAGGCUGGUUUAAAUAACACUAAGUUAUUGAUAGAAGACCCGCAGGUCGGGAUGCGCCGGCCGUGGUCCCUCUUUAUUCUUGUGAUAGUUGCUAAGAUACGACAGUGUGCCAUACAAGCAAUAGGGCCUACGUGUCUUAAUAUUUCAUGGCACUUUUCUAUAUUUUGAUAUGCAGAUGCAGCAUCCUCAUAGUGUACAUGACUAAAUGUGAUUAGUUUCUCCUUUAGGGAAGUUGAAAUGGAUCCUUUUACCAUUCGCAUUUAUCUCGCACAGCAUUGUCGUCAUGGUCUGAAGCGGCGCAACACUUCUAUAUACUAACGCCAUCUGCAAUUGCUAUAAUACAGUAUCAAGAUUCAAUGCAUUCGACAUCGACUUUCCUCAAGGAGAAUGAAGUGCUUGGGCUAAGCCUACACACUCGUACCCGAUGAGACACACAGAUAUUCAACAUAAGAAUCUCUUUUCUUUCUGGUGUUUUCAUGUGCACCUUUUAUAUAUGACAGAUAAACGAUUGGUCUCGAGAUACUGCGUGAAAAUCCAUUUUGUAUUGAGUAACUUCUUCGCUUAGUGGCCAAACAGUAAAGUUCCUUUUUAUUCUAUCAGAGAGGAGCGUUCCAGGCAAACAUAUGUCGUAUCCAAGGUCUUUCAGCGAUGUCUUCCCGUUUAUGAAUGUUGUACAUAAUAAUGUGUUCCUGCGUUAAAUGGUAAUCUAUUUAUUAAAAUGAUUGUUUUA